rnacentral:lncRNA from 1 species
UUUUCGGGGUGCUGGGCCCGGCUCGGCGAUCCCCGUCCUUCACCAUCCGGCCUCCCUCCACGGAUGCGUGGUUGGAACUGGCCCCGCCCCUUAGUAAUCACUCUGAUUGGAAAGGGGAGUAAAAUAUGCAAAAAAAAAACGUUCCGUGUAUCUUUUCAAAAUGGCGACUGUUUAAAAGUUUUUUUAAAAAUCUAUAUUAUUUGUUUUACUAUUUAUCGGACGUGAAAGAUAUUUUGUUUUAUAAAAUAAUGGCUGUCAGUUUGCUAAUAAAUUUAUUGUGUAUAUUAAUAAUUGGUUUAAUCAUUAUAUUUUCUUCUAUUAAUAAAUAUUUUUCAU